GCGGAAGGUCCCUUCGCUCCCGAGCAGUGGACGCAGGAUUGAAUCCAGGUCUCUCCAUAUCUCUGGCUGGGCUCUCUCUGCCGCCUAAACCCUGCGUCGGGAAAAGCUCCCUGUUACAGUAGAAAUCAAAUAAAUGUAGAAGGAAUGAAGGAGUUGGAAAACCACCACACCAAUGGGCAAAUACUUGCUGAGGGUAAAUAUUUGCCAAGGGGCAGGGUAGUUACAUAGUCCCAAAGUAUCUGCCGGUAAGAUACUUACUAUUUGCAAAGAGAACCAUAGUAACUUCCCAGUGGAGAAACCUGGCGGAGCUCUCUUACCCAAGGGAUCAAGUUAUACCAGCAAUCAGAGGACAAGCCCCUAGGAUGAGCCUCCUGAUAGAAUGCACGAGAAGGACACAACAUCACUUCUGGGGUAUUCUUGCCCAUUAUGGGCUGAAUUGUGACCCCACUCCAUUCAUAAAUUGAAGCUCUAACCCCCAUCACCUCAGAAUGUGACUGUAUUCAGAGACGGGGCCUUUAAGAGAAGAUUAAAUUAAAAUGAGGCCAGUAGGGUGGACCCUGACUCCAUCUGACCAGUGUCCUUCUAAGAAGAGGAAAUUUGGACCUGCAAAGAGACACCAGGGAUAUAGGUGCACAGAGGGGAGAGUGUGUGACUCUGCCAGCCAAGGAGAGUGGCCUCAGGAGACGCAUACCCAGCAACACCCUGACCUUGGACUUCCAACCUCCAGAACUAUGAGCAAAUAGAUUCCCGUUGUUUAAGGCACCCAGUCUGUAGCAUUUUAUUAUGGCGGCCCCAGCGAAGGAACACAGUGCCAAAAAUGCGUAACUUGGCUCUAGUCGGGAGGAAAUGCCAGACAAACCCAAAUAAGGGCCAUUCUGCAAACUGGCCAGUAGUCCUCAAAAAUGUUAAGGGUGUGAAAGACAAAAGACAGACAGAGGGACUGUCCCGGAUAGGAGGAGGCUGAAGAAAGAUGGAUUGGAUCCCGGACUAGGAAAAAGUACUUGGAUUAGAUCCUGGACUAGUAAAAAACACUUUCUCCAUUGCUAUAAAAGUCAUCCUUAGGGGCCGGCCCCGUGGCGUAGUGGUUAAGUUCCUGUACUCCGCUUUGGUGGCCCAGGGGUCACGGGUUCAGAUCCUGGGCGCGAACAUACAUACUGCUCAUCAAGCCAUGCUGAGGCCGCAUCCCACGCAGAGGAACUAGAAGGACUUACAGCUAGGAUAUACAACUAUGUACUGGGGCUUUGGGGAGGAAAAAAAUUCAUCCUUACGACAAUUGGUGAAUUGAAUAAGCCUUCUGUCCCCGCUUGUGAGGUAACAUUAUCACCCCCCAUUCACAGAUGGGACACUGAGGGUCAGAAGAGUGAUGGGGCUGGGGCACAGCGAGAAAGUGGAUCCCAUCCAGGAGGCCACGCUGCACCUACUUGUGCAUCUUGUUAUUUGUUAUUAGUAAUAGCCAAAGUCCUGUUAAUUGCCUUAAUCCCCAGGAGAGAUCUCUGCAGCCUGCUGGUCUCUUUCCUCCCCCGUGACCCUCAUCCUGCUGCAGGCUCUUGGGGCCGGGGCAGUGUCCCUGCGGGCCCCC
ensembl:lncRNA